rnacentral:rRNA from 1 species
UACGUAGGGCGCAAGCGUUAUCCGGAAUUAUUGGGCGUAAAGAGCUCGUAGGCGGUUUGUCGCGUCUGCCGUGAAAGUCCGGGGCUCAACUCCGGAUCUGCGGUGGGUACGGGCAGACUAGAGUGAUGUAGGGGAGACUGGAAUUCCUGGUGUAGCGGUGAAAUGCGCAGAUAUUAGGAGGAACACCGGUGGCGAAGGCGGCGCUCUGGGCCGGAACUGACGCUGAGGAGCGAAAGCGUGGGGAGCAAACAGG